rnacentral:rRNA from 1 species
CCUUUUAAGAUUCUUCGGAUGAUUGAUCGGUGACUGAGUGGCGGACGGGUGAGUAACGCGUGGGUAACCUGCCCUGUACAGGGGGAUAACAGUUGGAAACGGCUGCUAAUACCGCAUAAGCGCACGAGAGGACAUCCUCUUGUGUGAAAAACUCCGGUGGUACAGGAUGGACCCGCGUCUGAUUAGCUGGUUGGUGAGGUAACGGCUCACCAAGGCGACGAUCGGUAGCCGGACUGAGAGGUUGAACGGCCACAUUGGGACUGAGACACGGCCCAGACUCC